rnacentral:lncRNA from 1 species
AAGAGUGGAAAAGACAUUCUGUUCUUUAUCCUUCCCAAGUCUGAGGAAAGAUGGGGUUCUGUGACUUCACGUCUGGGAGGAAUGUGACUGCUUGGAUUCAGGCUGUGUGAUGCAGAGACAUGUGAUAUGAAUGGGACUCAGAGUUUGACCUGGUUCCCUGGCUGAGACAAGAGAGGGAGACACUGAGGAGGUCCACUUCAAGUCUUCGCAGCAGAGCCACCAAAGCCCAAGGCAGACUGGGGACAGAGUCUUCAGUUUGGUCUUCAUCACGCAGGGAACAGUUACACAAUGGGAAAGGUGACUCCGUGUGAGAAGAGAGUCCAGAGAAACCAGGUGCUGGCACUAAUGGCGUGCUCCACCACCACGCCCGGCUACCUCCUGGUUUUUAACAGGAUCUCUGGCCUCGAACUCCAGGUGUAGCUGAGGAUGACCGCUGUCCUAUCUCUAUCUGGGCUUGCAUUCACGUAACACACACCAGGCCUAUGAAGCGCUGGGACCCAUUGCAUCAUGCGUGCUACGUGAGUUCCAUCUCCAACCCUGAAACUUUCUUUUAGGAUGUUCACUUGUGUAUCAUCCGUCUCAUCACCUUCUAAAGAAGGCACAGUUGUCUCCGGAUCCCAGAGCAAUGAUGGACAACCAUGGGUACUGUGGUUUGUUGAUUGACUACAUAAUGAGUGACAAGAACAUCUGUCAUUUACAAUAUACACAAUUGUAUCAUUGCAUCCAUCCCAUGACAAUGCACAGGGAAAACCCAAACCUCUGAAAGGUGAAACAAUUUGACUCAGGUUGCCCAGUGAGUUAGUCUCAGGGACCAAACAGAAUCAGCCUGAUUUUAAGGUUACCCCUGAUUCUAGAGGAGGAACGAGGUGGGGAACCCCACAAAUGUCCUGAAGAUAGGUGGGUGGAACUCAUGGGUCAACAAGACAAAGAAGACCUAGGUUCAGGGAUUGU